UAAGGAAUAUUGGACAAUGGGCGGAAGCCUGAUCCAGCCAUCCCGCGUGCUUGAUGAAGGCCCUCUGGGUUGUAAAGAGCUUUAGUCUGGGAAGAAACCGUUUUCUGCGGAAGACGCUGACGGUACCAGAAGAAUAAGCACCGGCUAACUCCGUGCCAGCAGCCGCGGUAAUACGGAGGGUGCAAGCGUUAUCCGGAAUCACUGGGUUUAAAGGGUGCGUAGGCGGUCUGAUAAGUCAGAGGUGAAAGCCUGCAGCUUAACUGUAGAAUUGCCUUUGAUACUGUCAGACUUGAAUGGGGUCGAGGUCGGCGGAAUGUGGCAUGUAGCGGUGAAAUGCAUAGAUAUGCCAUAGAACACCAAUUGCGAAGGCAGCUGACUAGGCCUGUAUUGACGCUGAGGCACGAAAGCGUGGGGAGCAAACAGG
rnacentral:rRNA from 1 species